GUCUUGUACAAACACUUGAGAAAUAUCUCAGGGUGAUAGAAUGAUAAAAUGAUCGCUGGAGCUCAAUCUUAGAAGGGGAACAAUAUAUCUCAUCAUCGCUGCAACUACACCAGAGAAAUCUUUUCUUUUUCUUUGUAAACCCUUUUCUCUCUACUAUCUUCAACUAACCCUAAUCCCCAAAACCCUUAAAUUCAAUUUUGAACAAUCCUAAAUUCAUCUCUCUCGUUUCACUUUACGAUUUGCAGUAGCAAUUUUAAGGCAUUUGAUUCGGAUUGAUGAGGUAUUACAAUCACUGGGCAAACUAGUGAGGCUGUAUUCAGAAGUGCAUCUAUUGAGGUCGUUGAAGCACAAUAACAUUGUAAGGUUCUACAAUUCCUGGAUUGAUGACAAACACAAGAAUGUUAACAAGAUAGUUAUUCACCUCAGGGAGCCUCAAACAGUGUGUUCAUUAUCCUUUGUAUAUGUGUUUAAUUUGUUUUUCUGUUUUAUUGUGAUAUUAGUCCUUUUGUUAGUUGGUUUGAUGCAUGAUUUAGGUACUGUAAGAAACACAAGAAGGUCGACAUGAGAGUAUUUGUUAAAUAUCGGACUCAGGUGUGAUUUAUUUGAAGUAUUUGUUAAAUAUCGGACAAUAUCUUGUAUUUUAAUUUGAUUUUUUAGAGUGAUUUAAAGCCUUUCAGACUUGACGAAAAACUAUGAUAUCUUAGCAGUACAGGGUCAUCUGGUUCAGUAAACUAGUUUCUAUUUACCUUUUAAGAUGGAAGUUAAAUUAGUGGAAUAUUAUUACACUUGCA